rnacentral:rRNA from 1 species
UGGGGAAUAUUGGACAAUGGGGGCAACCCUGAUCCAGCAAUGCCGCGUGUGUGAAGAAGGCCUGAGGGUUGUAAAGCACUUUCAGUGGGGAGGAGGAUUUGAAGGUUAAGAGCCAUUAAAUUGGACGUUACCCACAGAAGAAGCACCGGCUAACUCCGUGCCAGCAGCCGCGGUAAUACGGAGGGUGCGAGCGUUAUCCGGAUUCACUGGGUUUAAAGGGUGCGUAGGCGGGUAGGUAAGUCAGUGGUGAAAUCCUUGAGCUCAACUUGGGAACUGCAUCUGAGACUGGAAGGCUAGAGUACUGGAGAGGGUGGUGGAAUUCCUCGUGUAGCGGUGAAAUGCGUAGAGAUGAGGAGGAACACCAGUGGCGAAGGCGGCCACCUGGACAGUAACUGACGCUGAGGCGCGAAAGUGUGGGUAGCAAACAGG